rnacentral:rRNA from 1 species
CACGUAGGGUGCAAGCGUUGUCCGGAUUUACUGGGCGUAAAGAGCGUGUAGGCGGCCAAACAGGUCCGUUGUGAAAACUGGAGGCUCAACCUCCAGACGUCGACGGAAACCGUGUGGCUAGAGUCCGGAAGAGGAGAGUGGAAUUCCUGGUGUAGCGGUGAAAUGCGUAGAUAUCAGGAGGAACACCUGUGGCGAAGGCGUCCAUCUGGCCCGUUACUGACGCUGAGAAGCGAAAGCGUGGGGAGCAAACAGG